UACGGAGGGGGCAAGCGUUAUUCGGAAUCAUGGGGCGUAAAGGGCGCGUAGGCGGCCCCAUAAGUCAGUGGUGAAAGCCUCCAGCUCAACUGGAGAACUGCCAUUGAUACUGACGGGCUUGAGUACAGACGAGGUUGGCGGAAUUGAUUGUGUAGCGGUGAAACGCAUAGAUACAAUCAAGAACUCCGAUUGCGUAGGCAGCUAACUAGGCUGUAACUGACGCUGAGGCACGAAAGCGUGGGGAGCGAACAGG
rnacentral:rRNA from 1 species